UUUCCUUUAGUUUAUACAUUAAAACAUUAGUUUGAAGAGCUGAAGAUAGUAUGUGCUAGGGAGUA
rnacentral:tRNA from 1 species